rnacentral:rRNA from 1 species
GACGUAGGGCGCGAGCGUUGUCCGGAAUUACUGGGCGCAAAGAGCUCGUAGGUGGUUUGUCGCGUUGUUCGUGAAAUCUCACGGCUUAACUGUGAGCGUGCGGGCGAUACGGGCAGACUGGAGUACUGCAGGGGAGACUGGAAUUCCUGGUGUAGCGGUGAAAUGCGCAGAUAUCAGGAGGAACACCGGUGGCGAAGGCGGGUCUCUGGGCCGAUAUCGACGCUGAGGAGCGAAAGCGUGGGGAGCGAACAGG